rnacentral:rRNA from 1 species
GACGAACGCUGGCGGCGUGCCUAAUACAUGCAAGUAGAACGCUGAAGGAGGAGCUUGCUCUUCUGGAUGAGUUGCGAACGGGUGAGUAACGCGUAGGUAACCUGCCUGGUAGCGGGGGAUAACUAUUGGAAACGAUAGCUAAUACCGCAUAAGAGUAGAUGUUGCAUGACAUUUACUUAAAAGGUGCAAUUGCAUCACUACCAGAUGGACCUGCGUUGUAUUAGCUAGUUGGUGGGGUAACGGCUUACCAAGGCGACGAUACAUAGCCGACCUGCGAGGGUGAUCGGCCACGCUGGGCCUGGAACACGGCCCAGAAUACUACGGGAGGCAGAAGUAGGGAAUCUUCAGCAAUGGAAGGAAGUCUGAACGAGCAACGCCGCGUGAGUGAAGAAGGUUUUCGGAUCGUAAAGCUCUGUUGUAAGAGAAGAACGAGUGUGAGAGUGGAAAGUUAACACUGUGACGGUAUCUUACCAGAAAGGGACGGCUAACUACGUG